UUCGGUCCCUUCCUCAGGGGUGACUGAGGAAGGGAGGCACUUUUUGGAGGCACUUUUCUUUAGCAAAUUCUUAGUGACCAAGUAGAGUAAACUGCAAAUUAUUUUAAUGCUGCUAUUGUUCACACUGCAUUGUGGCUCAUGCUUGUAAAUGCUGUAGUGCACAUGGUUUUGUUUGUGAUAAACAUUUGGCUGGCUUGCUAGUUAUCCAAAUAGAAAAACGUCUAAUAAUUUAAUGAGGCAACACGUACCUUUGAAGCUGUAUCUGACAAUCUUUCCUGGUGCAUAGAGUUGUCAAACAUUUUGCAGGUUGUGGCAAUGAAAUCUGGAUGUAAAUCCAUAAAGAGGGUUUUUGGAAGCUCCUUUCAAACCUUUGACAUGCCUGAACUUCUUAUACAGGAAUUCUCCAUAGGGAUGCUGUUUUCUUCCUAAGUGUGACUUUCUACAGCGGAGCUGUUAUAGUUGAGGUUUGCCGUUUGUUGUAGACAGAAAAUUAUCAUCAUCAUGAACCGGCACACGCUCUCCUCGUCUUCAUCGCCUUCCUCUUUUGCUUCACUCCCAGAACACAUGCGCUGAUUUGUCCGGCUGGGGAUGCAAUAAUUCUGAUGAGCGAGAAAAUGAGUUCAGAGAGAGAGAAAGAAAGAUAGAGAAAGAGAUAAACCCUUGGCGAAAAAGAAUUCUCACCGAGGCGAGAUUCGAACCCGCGUCCCCUGAACCACAGGUGAGCGUCAUAAACACUUGGCUAUCCAGGCACACUAGCAGACCAUAGCAUAGCCUUGUAUAGUAGAGUAUAGCAAGGGGGUGGGAAAGGGAUGGGAGGGAAAAGAAGAUGGGAGAACGAGUACAGAGAGAGAGAGAGAAAGAAAGAAAGAAAUAGGAAGGCGGAGAAACAAAUAGACUUCGGGAGAAAGAGAUAAAAAGACACAAGGCUAAGAAAGAUAAAAAAGAGGAAGCAUAGCCUUGUAUAGUACAGUAUAGCAAGGGGGUGAGAAAGGGAUGGUAGGGUGAGGAGGAGGGAAAAGAGGAUGGGAGAACGAGUACAGAGAGAGAGAGAGAGAGAAAGAAAUAGGAAGAUGGAGAAACAAAUAGACUUUGGGAGAAAGAGAUAAAAAGACACAAGGCUAAGAAAGAUGAAAAAGAGGAAGCAUAGCCUUGUAUAGUACAGUAUAGCAAGGGGGUGAGAAAGGGAUGGUAGGGUGAGGUGGAGGGAAAAGAGGAUGGGAGAAUGAGUACAGAGAGAGAGAAAGAAAGAAAUAGGAAGAUGGAGAAACAAAUAGACUUUGGGAGAAAGAGAUAAAAAGACACAAGGCUAAGAAAGAUGAAAAAGAGGAAGCAUAGCCUUGUAUAGUACAGUAUAGCAAGGGGGUGAGAAAGGGAUGGUAGGACACAAGGCUAAGAAAGAUGAAAAAGAGGAAGCAUAGCCUUGUAUAGUACAGUAUAGCAAGGGGGUGAGAAAGGGAUGGUAGGGUGAGGUGGAGGGAAAAGAGGAUGGGAGAAUGAGUACAGAGAGAGAGAAAGAAAGAAAUAGGAAGAUGGAGAAACAAAUAGACCUAGGGAGAAAGAGAGAGGAAGACACAAGACUAAAAAAGAUAAAAAAUAGGAAGCAUAGCCUUGUAUAGUACAGUAUAGCAAGGGGGUGAGA